rnacentral:rRNA from 1 species
GACGAACGCUGGCGGCGUGCUUAACACAUGCAAGUCGAACGCUGAAGCUCAGCUUUUGUUGGGUGGAUGAGUGGCGAACGGGUGAGUAACACGUGAGUAACCUGCCUCCUUCUUUGGGAUAACGCCCGGAAACGGGUGCUAAUACUGGAUAUUCACUGGUCUUCGCAUGGGGGUUGGUGGAAAGGGUUUUUCUGGUGGGGGAUGGGCUCGCGGCCUAUCAGCUUGUUGGUGGGGUGAUGGCCUACCAAGACUUUGACGGGUAGCCGGCCUGAGAGGGUGACCGGUCACAUUGGGACGGAGAUACGGCCCAGACUCCUACGGGAGGCAGCAGUGGGGAAUAUUGCACAAUGGGCGCAAGCCUGAUGCAGCGACGCCGCGUGAGGGAUGGAGGCCGUCGGGUUGUGAACCUCUUUCGCUCAUGGUCAAGCCGCAACAAUGGUUGUGGUGAGGGUAGUGGGUAAAGAAGCGCCGGCUAACUACGUG